ACUUUCUGUUGUCCGAAAAACUGAUCGUUUUGUUAUGUUUUUUGAAACCAAAUAGUACAAUGAUAUAGGAGAUACAAAGAUAUCUCGGAUUGUUCAUGCAAAUGAAUAUAUAUUCGGAAAGUAAGGGAGAGCGGUACGACCUUGAGUAAGGAAAGCAGCAGGUGGACACAAGAAGAGACAGUAUUUGGGACGAGUGAUAAAUAUUCGUAGAAGGGAAAAG
ensembl:ncRNA T19B10.15 ncRNA